rnacentral:rRNA from 1 species
AGUGAACGCUGGCGGUAGGCCUAACACAUGCAAGUCGAACGGCAGCACAGUAAGAGCUUGCUCUUACGGGUGGCGAGUGGCGGACGGGUGAGGAAUACAUCGGAAUCUACUUUUUCGUGGGGGAUAACGUAGGGAAACUUACGCUAAUACCGCAUACGACCUACGGGUGAAAGCAGGGGAUCUUCGGACCUUGCGCGAUUGAAUGAGCCGAUGUCGGAUUAGCUAGUUGGCGGGGUAAAGGCCCACCAAGGCGACGAUCCGUAGCUGGUCUGAGAGGAUGAUCAGACACACUGGAACUGAGACACGGUCCAGACUCCUACGGGAGACAGCAGUGGGGAAUAUUGGACAAUGGGCGCAAGCCUGAUCCAGCCAUACCGCGUGGGUGAAGAAGGCCUUCGGGUUGUAAAGCCCUUUUGUUGGGAAAGAAAAGCAGCAGGUUAAUACCCCGCUGUUCUGACGGUACCCAAAGAAUAAGCACCGGCUAACUUCGUG